rnacentral:rRNA from 1 species
AGUGAACGCUGGCGGUAGGCCUAACACAUGCAAGUCGAACGGCAGCACAGUAAGAGCUUGCUCUUACGGGUGGCGAGUGGCGGACGGGUGAGGAAUACAUCGGAAUCUACUUUUUCGUGGGGGAUAACGUAGGGAAACUUACGCUAAUACCGCAUACGACCUACGGGUGAAAGCAGGGGAUCUUCGGACCUUGCGCGAUUGAAUGAGCCGAUGUCGGAUUAGCUAGUUGGCGGGGUAAAGGCCCACCAAGGCGACGAUCCGUAGCUGGUCUGAGAGGAUGAUCAGCCACACUGGAACUGAGACACGGUCCAGACUCCUACGGGAGGCAGCAGUGGGGAAUAUUGGACAAUGGGCGCAAGCCUGAUCCAGCCAUACCGCGUGGGUGAAGAAGGCCUUCGGGUUGUAAAGCCCUUUUAUUGGGAAAGAAAAGCAGCGGGUUAAUACCCCGCUGUUCUGACGGUACCCAAAGAAUAAGCACCGGCUAACUUCGUG